rnacentral:rRNA from 1 species
AACGAACGCUGGCGGCAUGCCUAACACAUGCAAGUCGAACGAGACCUUCGGGUCUAGUGGCGCACGGGUGCGUAACGCGUGGGAACCUUCCCUUAGGUUCGGAAUACCUCUCCGAAAGGGGUGCUAAUACCGGAUAAUGUCUUCGGACCAAAGAUUUAUCGCCUUUGGAUUGGCCCGCGUUGGAUUAGCUAUUUGGUAGGGUAAAAGCCUACCAAGGCGACGAUCCAUAGCUGGUCUGAGAGGAUGCUCAGCCACACUGGGACUGAGACACGGCCCAGACUCCUACGGGAGGCAGCAGUGGGGAAUAUUGGACAAUGGGCGAAAGCCUGAUCCAGCAAUGCCGCGUGAGUGAUGAAGGCCUUAGGGUUGUAAAGCUCUUUUACCCGGGAUGAUAAUGACAGUACCGGGAGAAUAAGCGCCGGCUAACUCCGUG